UACGGGGGGGGUAAGCGUUGUUCGGAAUUACUGGGCGUAAAGGGCUCGUAGGCGGCCAACUAAGUCGGAUGUGAAAUCCCCAGGCUUAACCUGGGAACUGCAUCCGAUACUGGAUGGCUUGAAUCCGGGAGAGGGAUGCGGAAUUCCAGGUGUAGCGGUGAAAUGCGUAGAUAUCUGGAGGAACACCGGUGGCGAAGGCGGCAUCCUGGACCGGCAUUGACGCUGAUGAGCGAAAGCCAGGGGAGCAAACGGG
rnacentral:rRNA from 1 species